rnacentral:rRNA from 1 species
CCGAGUUGUAAUUUGCAGAGGAUGCUUCGGGUUCGGCGCCGGUCUAAGUUCCUUGGAACAGGACGUCAUAGAGGGUGAGAAUCCCGUAUGUGACCGGCCGCCACGCCCGUGUGAAGCUCCUUCGACGAGUCGAGUUGUUUGGGAAUGCAGCUCAAAAUGGGUGGUAAAUUUCAUCUAAAGCUAAAUAUUGGCCAGAGACCGAUAGCGCACAAGUAGAGUGAUCGAAAGAUGAAAAGCACUUUGGAAAGAGAGUCAAACAGUACGUGAAAUUGUUGAAAGGGAAGCGCUUGCAACCAGACUUGCCCGCGGGUGAUCAGCCGGUAUUCUUACCGGUGCACUCGCCCGUGGUCAGGCCAGCAUCGGUUCGGGCGGCUGGAUAAAGUCCACUGGAAUGUAGCUCCUCUCGGGGAGUGUUAUAGCCAGAGGUGCCAUGCAGCCCGCCCGGACCGAGGACCGCGCUUCGGCUAGGAUGCUGGCGUAAUGGUUGUAAGCGACCCGUCUUGAAACACGGACCAAGGAGUCUAACAUCUAUGCGAGUGUUUGGGUGUCAAACCCAUGCGCGUAAUGAAAGUGAACGGAGGUGGGAACCCUCAAGGGUGCACCAUCGACCGAUCCUGAUGUCUUCGGAUGGAUUUGAGUAAGAGCAUAGCUGUUGGGACCCGAAAGAUGGUGAACUAUGCCUGAAUAGGGUGAAGCCAGAGGAAACUCUGGUGGAGGCUCGCAGCGGUUCUGACGUGCAAAUCGAUCGUCAAA